CUUCCUGAAGAUCUGAACAGAACUGAAAGAUGAAAGACCAAGUUGCCAUCUGACCACCAUGCAUGCCUCUUUCUGACAAGCUCACAGUUUCUUCCCGUCUGAUUUAUUAUGCUCCUUGGCUUUGCGGCACAUCUCACAAACUCAUCGAGGUAGAAAUUCCCAAGGGUUGGCAUGUCCUGUGUGAUGUCCAACUUUACCACAACAGUGCGGGCUGGCUGGUUUACCUCGUGGCAGUGCCCUCGCCCAGAACGUGUUGGCGCCUUCAUGUCGUCUCGCAGCCGGGUCCCUUAUGGCCUUACAGCCUCAUAUUCAUGGCCAAACUGGAAAACUUGUGGUGGGUUGAACUGCACCAGCUCCAGAGUCUUGCUCACUUCCUGUAGAAGACACCAGCCGUGGGGUAUUGGCAUCUCAUCAGCUCUUCUGAGGGGACAAUGGUGCAGUCAACAGCAAGAUGGCAGAGUCCUGGUAGUCUCUGUAUCGGGUUGACCUCCUAUGAGCUUGCAGGGAAGAUGCGUUUGAAAUCCUUGAAUGAGCUCAUGCUAUUUUCUUGAAAUACACUGAGUUCUGGUAACGUCCUGGAGUGCAGGGUCCCUUCCUCAUGCUGGUUUCCCUUGUGCCUCCAGGAGCCCCUUGCAUGGAUUGGAGUAUCCUGGGUGUUGAGUUCAUUGUAGGGUCUUGGCUCAAAAUCCUAGACCAAGAGCCACUAAGAAAGGUCUCUGGAUACUUCUUGCUGAGUUCUGUUUCUUAUCCCCGGUACACGGAGGGGACGAAGGAGUCUGUUCCAAAGGACAGAAUGGGAAAUUCAAUUAAAAGUCUCAAAAUUCAAACCCAGGGGUACCUGGGUGGCUCAGUC